rnacentral:lncRNA from 7 species
AUAAAAUGUUUUUAUUGUUUUUGAAAACAUUUAAAAAACAAUUUUUGAGCACUUUCAAUAAAAAAAAUAACUGAAAUGCUACUGCAAUAUUCAACUACUGUCGUUUCAGCAGUACAACAGACAACAAAACACUGCGGGAGAGAGGGAAAACUGGAUUUCCUGCAUUAAAUGAAAAUGUAGUACAGGGAUUUAUUUUUUUCCUUAGGGUGCAGUUAAUAAAGCACGGUAUAGUACAAGAUUAUUACAUGAACCUUGGAUGCACUGCACAAGAAACGCUUUCCUUCUUUUCAGUUCAGAAGUCAGUGCUUAUUGCAAUUAUUUGCAAAUUAUUUACUUCAUGAAUUCUUAUCAUGAUAAAAUGAUGCAAAAAUAUCUUUCAACACCCGAACAAUAAAAAAGAAUCCAAAAAAGGAACAUAUUCAACAAUAACUAAGCUGAAUUAGUUAACAUAAAAAAGUAAGUAACUUGUGAAUAACUAUGCUCACCUGGUUAACACCGAACCAGCUUCAAUACAGCAAAGAAUAAAAAAAGUGGUUACAGGAAUAUAUCUAGUACUGUACAAGAUUAAGUCAUUAACACUCAUGCACAUUUUGUGAUCAUGUAUUAACAUGGUGAAGCAAACUAAACUUGAUUUUUUCCUGCUGUAAUAUUCUCAUUUAAGAGAAUAAGAAAUAGAAAUAUCUCAUUGAGAUCAAUGCACAUUGCUACAUAAGACAAUUUCACCUGUCACUUUUAAUGACAUUUUGCCUUUUAAUAAUGAAACACAUUAGAUUUUUUUCUGUUUUAUUUUUUGUGGGGUUUUUUUUGUUUGUUUUUAUUAUUUUAUUUAAAUCUGUUGGCCGUAUUUGUUGCAUUUAUCCUAAGGAAUGUGCCUGCCACAGGUUCAACAGAAUAUUAGUGCAAUACAUGAACCCAGAUAGUUUGCUGGACUAACCAACCAAUUUUAAAGUGUUUGCUGCAAUACUGUACACAGUGUACAAGUUCACUAGUUUGUUUAUUUUAGCAAAAGCUGCUAUCAAAAUUAUCACCUUAGUUGGAAGCCAAUUAUGUAAACAAGGGGUCAGAACUGUCUCAUCUUCUUUGUUCUGGAGUAUCUGACAGACAGGCUUCCAUUUGCUAAAAUCAUGGAAUCUUCCUUUGGGUAUUGCAUACUUUGGUGUGCAGUAGUGCUCUGUCUCAAUGUAAAGAACUAACUAGCACUAAAUACGGGGACCUCAUAGAACAUUAGUUGUAACACCAGCACACAAACACUGCUAAAAGGACACAUACCAAUGUACAAAGCUGUGUCUAUGCCUUGGAUUUCACUUGAAAGAACCCCUACUGAAUAGAACACUUCUUCCAUUUUACAUACAUUUGCUUUAAAUCCGCUGAUCACAGAAUAUUCCUGCUAGUUAAAUCACUUGUAAGGUUCAAAGUAAUGCCUGUAAUUAAAAACAAUGUAAAAGGUACUUUAAAAACCUUUGGUGACUGCUGCAUAAUUUAGAGAGCAUCCGCUUCAAAUCUACUCUUGUUUUAGUGAGAAAUGUUCUGAAAAACUAGUGGAGUUAGGUGAGAACUUGUUUACACCAAGCUCACGUCAGUCUCAGCAACACGGGGACCAGGCCAGCACACCGUGCAGAUGUGGAGACUGCCACAGCACGGAUGGAGCUCCAGUUCUGCCCCCCAUUCUCCACUGAAAAGCAGGGUUCACAUAUUCACUGGCACUUCACACAGGGUCAGAAAAAAGAAGCGCUGAGUGUGUCUCAGACCCAGCCAAGUCAACAAGGUAAGAGGAUGGUGAGCCAUAUCUCUGGCUAAAGGCCACGGACAGGUAUGCCACUCAAACCCUGCCACUGGCAACUGUGUCUAAAGGAAAAAUGGUUCCAGCCUUACUGCAGACACCUAAAAGAACCCUACUGUGCAGUUUUUAGACUCCCGACCUCCUCCUUAACUAACUAAAAAGGGUGACUUGGUCUUAAAAUAAACCACACCCUGCAUAUCCCUAUGUUUCAAGGAGCAAUCCGACUCUCCAAGUCUGUUCCUAACGAAGCAGCAAAACUGAUGCAAGCACAGUGAAAUCACGCUCCCCGUAAGGUGCUACAGUUUGUCACAACGGUUUUGUCCCUGAAGAAGCAGCCACAGACUGGUGGUCAAUCAGGGCAAGAGCAAGAGAAGGCAUGAUACAUCAGCACCUGAAGUGACAAUACAGCAGCACAAUUCAGAUCAGCACCGCCAAAAAAAUUACUCAGUACUGAGAUCAAGUCCUUAGCAAAAACUGAAGAAACAAAUGACCACUAAGUCACCUUAAAAAACAAAAAUUAACAACAAAUAAUAAUCUGAGCAUCUAUUCCUUAAAUCUAGAGAGGCUUAUUGUGCCUUCAUCACCUCUUACUCAAAGGAGGAAUGCAAGAGAGGAAAAUGUCUUCUGGUGAAAAACAGUUUCUUUCUUCCAAACUGAAUGUGCU